ACUAGGUGUGGGGGCACAUGCCUGUAGUCCCAGCUACACUACUCGGGAGGCUGAGGCAGGAGGAUCAAGUGAGGCUGGGAAUUCUUGACUGUAAUAUACUAUGCUGAUCAUUCCUCACAAAGUUCGGCAGCAAUAUGGUGACUUCCUGGGAGCGGGGAAUCACCACCAGGUUGCCUAAGGAGGGGUGAGCCAGCCCAGAUGGGAAACAGAGCUGGUCAAAACUCCUUUGCUGAUCAGUAAUGGGAUCUUGCCUAUGGAUAGCUACUGUACUCCAGCCUGGGCAAUAUAGCAAGAUCUUGCUCU
rnacentral:SRP_RNA from 1 species